rnacentral:tRNA from 1 species
GGUGGCUCAAUGGUAGAGCGCUUGCCUUGCAUGCACUAGGCCCUAGGUUCGAUUCCUCAGCACCA